rnacentral:rRNA from 1 species
GAUGAACGCUGGCGGCGUGCCUAAUACAUGCAAGUCGAGCGAAUGGAUUAAGAGCUUGCUCUUAUGAAGUUAGCGGCGGACGGGUGAGUAACACGUGAGUAACCUGCCCAUAAGACUGGGAUAACUCCGGGAAACCGGGGCCAAUACCGGAUAACAUUUUGAACCGCAUGGGUCGAAAUUGAAAGGCGGCUUCGGCUGUAACUUAUGGAUGGACCAGGGUCGCAUUAGCUAGUUGGUGAGGUAACGGCUCACCAAGGCAACGAUGCGUAGCCGACCUGAGAGGGUGAUCGGCCACACUGGGACUGAGACACGGCCCAGACUCCUACGGGAGGCAGCAGUAGGGAAUCUUCCGCAAUGGACGAAAGUCUGACGGAGCAACGCCGCGUGAGUGAUGAAGGCUUUCGGGUCGUAAAACUCUGUUGUUAGGGAAGAACAAGUGCUAGUUGAAUAAGCUGGCACCUUGACGGUACCUAACCAGAAAGCCACGGCUAACUACGUGCCAGCAGCCGCGGUAA